AGAGUUUGAUCCUGGCUCAGGAUGAACGCUGGCGGCGUGCUUAACACAUGCAAGUCGAACGAACCUUCGGGUUAGUGGCGGACGGGUGAGUAACGCGUGGGAAUCUGCCCUCAGGAGGGGGAUAACGGUCGGAAACGACCGCUAAUACCCCAUAUGCCGAGAGGUGAAAUGAAUUUCGCCUGAGGAUGAGCCCGCGUCUGAUUAGCUAGUUGGUGUGGUAAUGGCUCACCAAGGCUUCGAUCAGUAGCUGGUCUGAGAGGAUGAUCAGCCACACUGGGACUGAGACACGGCCCAGACUCCUACGGGAGGCAGCAGUGGGGAAUUUUCCGCAAUGGGCGAAAGCCUGACGGAGCAACGCCGCGUGAGGGACGAAGGCCUCUGGGCUGUAAACCUCUUUUCUCAAGGAAGAAGAUCUGACGGUACUUGAGGAAUAAGCCACGGCUAAUUCCGUGCCAGCAGCCGCGGUAAUACGGGAGUGGCAAGCGUUAUCCGGAAUUAUUGGGCGUAAAGCGUCCGCAGGCGGCCUUUCAAGUCUGCUGUUAAAACGUGGAGCUUAACUCCAUCAAGGCAGUGGAAACUGUUGGGCUUGAGUGUGGUAGGGGCAGAGGGAAUUCCCGGUGUAGCGGUGAAAUGCGUAGAUAUCGGGAAGAACACCAGUGGCGAAGGCGCUCUGCUGGGCCAUAACUGACGCUCAUGGACGAAAGCCAGGGGAGCGAAAGGGAUUAGAUACCCCUGUAGUCCUGGCCGUAAACGAUGAACACUAGGUGUCGGGGGAAUCGACCCCCUCGGUGUCGUAGCCAACGCGUUAAGUGUUCCGCCUGGGGAGUACGCACGCAAGUGUGAAACUCAAAGGAAUUGACGGGGGCCCGCACAAGCGGUGGAGUAUGUGGUUUAAUUCGAUGCAACGCGAAGAACCUUACCAGGGUUUGACAUCCUGCGAACCUCUAAGAAAUUGGAGGGUGCCUUCGGGAACGCAGUGACAGGUGGUGCAUGGCUGUCGUCAGCUCGUGUCGUGAGAUGUUGGGUUAAGUCCCGCAACGAGCGCAACCCACGUUUUUAGUUGCCAGCAUUUAGUUGGGCACUCUAGAGAGACCGCCGGUGAUAAACCGGAGGAAGGUGUGGACGACGUCAAGUCAUCAUGCCCCUUACAUCCUGGGCUACACACGUACUACAAUGCUACGGACAAAGGGCAGCAAACUCGCGAGGGCAAGCAAAUCCCAUAAACCGUGGCUCAGUUCAGAUCGUAGGCUGCAACUCGCCUACGUGAAGCAGGAAUCGCUAGUAAUCGCAGGUCAGCAUACUGCGGUGAAUACGUUCCCGGGCCUUGUACACACCGCCCGUCACACCAUGGAAGUUGGCCACGCCCGAAGUCGUUACUCCAACCCUUGUGGAGGAGGACGCCGAAGGUGGGGCUGAUGACUGGGGUGAAGUCGUAACAAGGUAGCCGUACCGGAAGGUGCGGCUG
rnacentral:rRNA from 1 species